UACGAAGGGGGCUAGCGUUGCUCGGAAUCACUGGGCGUAAAGCGCACGUAGGCGGCCUUUUAAGUCAGGGGUGAAAUCCUGGAGCUCAACUCCAGAACUGCCUUUGAUACUGGGAAGCUUGAGUCCGGGAGAGGUGAGUGGAACUCCGAGUGUAGAGGUGAAAUUCGUAGAUAUUCGGAAGAACACCAGUGGCGAAGGCGGCUCACUGGCCCGGUACUGACGCUGAGGUGCGAAAGCGUGGGGAGCAAACAGG
rnacentral:rRNA from 1 species